rnacentral:rRNA from 1 species
AGCAGCAGCCGCGGUAAUACGAGGGGGGCAAGCGUUGUUCGGAAUUAUUGGGCGUAAAGGGUGCGUAGGCGGUUUGGCAAGUUUGGUGUGAAAUCUUCGGGCUCAACUCGAAGUCUGCAUCGAAAACUGCCGGGCUUGAGUAUGGGAGAGGUGAGUGGAAUUUCCGGUGUAGCGGUGAAAUGCGUAGAUAUCGGAAGGAACACCUGUGGCGAAAGCGGCUCACUGGACCAUAACUGACGCUGAUGCACGAAAGCUAGGGGAGCAAACAGGAUUAGAUACCCGUGUAGUCCCUGUCUCUUAUAC